AACGAACGCUGGCGGCAGGCUUGACACAUGCAAGUCGAGCGCCCCGCAAGGGGAGCGGCAGACGGGGGAGUAACGCGUGGGAAACUACCCAUGCCUACGGAAGAGCUCCGGGAAACUGGAGGUGAUACCGUAUACGCCCUACGGGGGAAAGAUUUAUCGGGGAUGGAUGAGUCCGCGUUGGAUUAGCUAGUUGGUGGGGUAAAGGCCUACCAAGGCGACGAUCCAUAGCUGGUCUGAGAGGAUGAUCAGCCACAUUGGGACUGAGACGCGGCCCAAACUCCUACGGGAGGCAGCAGUGGGGAAUAUUGGACAAUGGGGGCAACCCUGAUCCAGCCAUGCCGCGUGAGUGAUGAAGGCCUUAGGGUUGUAAAGCUCUUUCACCGGGGAAGAUAAUGACGGUACCCGGAGAAGAAGCCCCGGCUAACUUCGUGCCAGCAGCCGCAGUAA
rnacentral:rRNA from 1 species